GUCAAAAUAGUCACUAGAUUCUGAGGUAAGUGAUCACUUGCAAAUCUUUCUAGUAUCAAUAUAUGGAAAAACUAUCCAUCUGCUUUGACGCCUCUUAGAGGGAUAUGUCUUUGUCAAUAUCGUAGUUUCAACUUAUUGUUUCUUAGAAUUCAAUUUGCUAUGUGUUUUGAAUGAAUGGUCGUUUUCAGAAAGAAGCUUCUAGAUCUAACAUACAAAGCAGAGGAGAUGUAUAUAACUCCUUUAGAAUAGUUUGUAUGGUGCGUAAUGAAUUCUGAUUUGCCUCUCUCUUGUUGGUUGUUUGUACCCAAGUUAAUUUCUUACGAUCUUAGGUUUGUCUUCUAAUACUUCAUUUUAUAUUCGUAAAUCUUAUAUAAGAACCAAAAACCAUACAUACAACAGAAGGGACUUAUUAGGACAUAUUUAGUUCCAAGUUUUACCCAAAAUAUCACCUCAACAGUUAUGAUGCUAACCAACCAUUUCUUGUAGUUCUUAGACUACUCAUGACAGCCAAACCAACUUUGACAUUAUUAAUGUGAAGGUAAAAAUUAAAUAUGAAUUCUUCAGUUGUUUUCAGGUUUGCAGUUUUCAAUGCUUUUGUAUCUGUUGCCUAACAAUUUGUAUUGAAAUCAGCUUUCCACACUGUCUUCUUGCAGACUAAAGUGGAAAUCUCUAUCGAUAAAAGGUGUGAAAUGAAUAUAAUAGCCCUCUCUGUCCUAUCAACUUGAUCUUGAUCUCUUGCUUAUUAGUUAUCACCUUUGACUUCAUAUGGUAUGUCUUCAAUCUUUAUGCUGUAGUUUUGUUUCUCAUGUAGUUUGAAGUUCUUGCCUCUCUUCUCCAGCAAGUAACAAGUGAGUAUCCUCUCCUUACACUACUUUCUAGCUCGCUUGUUGGGGUUUCUUCAUGGUAUUUUUUUUUAAUGGAUUCUUCAUUUAAACUGCAUGAUGUAGAUUACUCUGCUAAAUUAUUUACUUCCCAAACAGUUCUGUUGUAUUACGUAUGCAGACAUAGCAAACGUUGUUGUUCAAAAGGCAAGAUAGAGAGAAAUUACAAAAAAUGGUAAGGCUUGAUGUGUGCAGAUUGACCCGCGAUUCUGAUUUAUUAUGAAGACUUUCGUUCUUGGAAUCCUUGGAGAUGUGUUCGAACUACUUUGAAUGGGAAGAUGUUGAUGGUUUAAUGCAUACUUGUUUGGUGUGUUGUGUUUACACUGGAUAAAUGAUCUGAUGAAAAAAAAUAUUUGCAGGUUUACUCUGCGUAUCUACUUGAUGACUUCCAGUGUGAAACUUAUGUGCUGACCCAAUUAUAAAAAGAGUAUGUAAGUUAGCACUCCAUGACUUCAACCAUUCACAACGAACUUUGUUCUCCUCUCUCGAUAUUUAGUUCUCGUUUCUGUUGUAUAAGCUCUGUUAUAAUGAUAGCUUUGUCUAUGAAAGAUAAUCAGGAUAAUGGUUAGACAAUGAGCUAAAUGAUCAGUGCCGAUAUUUUUCUGCAUCAAUAUAUGGAAGAUGGAGAACAUCUACCCAUCUGUCUUGACUGUCUUCGGCUAUCUGAGUGCCUCUUCAGUUAUAUUUUGGAGUCUGCCUGCUAUGAGGAAUUGUCAAACUUUAAUGUUGCUAUGCUUCUGAUUCCUUUUCAUCAUUUAAGGAUCUUCUCACAAAACAUGACUUUGUAGUCUCCGAGUUUCUCACCGUUCAUUAUUGAGGUUUGCUUCAGUAUUGUUUUAAGGUUUAGAUGGAGACAUGAGAAGUCUAUUCCUGGUUAUAUAAAUCCUAUAACAAAAUGAAAGAAACAUUUAAAAACCUUCUCCUCCUUUAGCUGACGGAUUAUUUAUGUUUCUUUGAGUUCUUGAUAUUUAUGAAAAGACUUUUUGACAUCUCCAAAUGAUAUGACAAGAAGGCUGUCACUGAAGGUUCUCUUCGCUACAAUUCUUAUGUUGGUGCUAUAUUAGUAUCCGUAUCACCUUUUAAAUAGCGUAGCCAAAAAUGAGAUUAUUCGUGGUUAGUAUAGCUUCUUUAAGAUUUCCUAUUUGCUAACUACUAUUUAAUAGUAUAGGUAUGUUUUGGAUUCAUAUAUUAACUCUUCCUUGAAAGGUAUGUAGUUUGAUCAGUCUACAUGUGAUUAAAUGUUCUGUUUUCUAAAUGUGGGAUAUUAUUCAUGAAUUAAUUAAAGAAGUGAAGAAAUCACUAAAGAACUGGCUUUUUCUUCUCAAUGCAUAUGAAUCUGUAUAUUUGUUUUAGAGACUGAUUCUAGUGUUUGGUUUCUCAUUUAUACUGAUUAAAUUUCUUUAGUGUGUUAACUUGUGGAAAGAAACACAGCCUCAUUCCCUAGAAAGGUCUUGCAUUUCUCGAGGUACGUUAUUCUUCUUUUGAUAUUCUUCUUACGGUUUGAUGUUAUUGGCUCUUUCCUUUGCAGUGAGAGAGCUCAUAGUCUAGUGUGACUAUGUGAGCUUACAUAUAGGAUUCUUUCAAAUCACUUAAUGAAACAGUAAAAGUAUGCCUGCAUCGAAUAAAUACAGACAUCAUGGUUGCUUGGCUUUUUAUUUUGUGCGGUUACCAGCUUUUUGUUUGCUUCAGUCCUUUUACUUUGCUUACUUACUUGCUUUUGUCCCUUAAUAUGUUUUUUUUAUAUGCAUAUAUACUUUCUUGUUUCCGUUUCAUGCUUGUGUGCUUGUUCAUUUCUUCCAUUCUUACUUACUUCUUAAACUGGCUUUCUUACUUGUUUCCUUAACUAAGGAAUAGGUUUAUGCUUGAUUGCUUAAGUUGUUGUAUGUAAAAGGGAAAAGUGCUCUGCUGAAUGUUUUUGGUUUCUGCAGGUUUACUCUGCAUAUCUAAUUGAUGGCCUCAAAUCUGAUAUUUUUUUUGCUGAUCCAAUCACAAAACAAAAAAUAAAAAUUCAAAGGACUUUGCUCUCCUCUUUCUGAUAUAUGGUUCUCGUUUCUGUUGCAUAAACUCUGUGAUAGUGAUAUAUCUUUGUCUAUGAUAGGUGUUCAAGUAUUUCUGGACUUUGAGAUAAAUGAUCACUUGCCAAUAUAUGGUGAAAAUCCCAUAUCCUUUGGGCAGUCUAGACUUUUUUCAUGGGGUAUGUCUUUGUCAAUAUAUAGUAGUUGCAACGUAUAUUUUCUUAGAGUUCAUUUUACUAUGUUUUCUGAAUGAAUGGUUGAUCUCAGAAUUGGGCUUCUAGAUCUAACUCACAAAGCAGAGGACCAUGAAAUUUCUUUAGAAAUGGUUGUACGGUAAGUGAUGAGUUUGAUUUGCCAAUCUAUCUUGUUGAUACACAAGCUACUCUAUGUAUCUACUACAUGUUGAGCUCAAAUCUCUGCAGGCCCAAUCACAAAAAAAGUGAGCAUCUAAGUUAGCAGGCCAUCACUUAAACCAGUCACAAACAAUUUUGUUCUCUUCUUUCGAUAUAUAGUUCCCGUUUCUGUUGUCUAAGCUCUGUGAUAAUGAUAUAGCUUUGUCUAUGAUAGGUGGUCAGGAUAAUAAUUUUCAGGCGAUGAGAUAGAUAGUGCUGAUAUUUUUAAGCAACUGAUCAUAUGUAUAUGGAGAAUAUCUACCCAUCUCUUUUGACUGGCUUUGUCUAUCGUGAGGUAAGUCUUCUUCAAUAUAGUAAUUUCAACUCUAAUUUUCUUUAAGUGUUCACUCUAUAGUAUAUAUUGUUUUUAAUGCGUAGAAGUACUCACUACUCACAAAGUUAGUAGUGUACUCACUACUCACUCACAAAGCAGAGGAGCAAGUUCCUCCCAAGUCGUUGAACUUAGUGAAGCAAGAUUUGUAGCGUUGAGCAAGACCAAACAUCCCCAGGGUGCCUCCAGUGUGAAGCAUCACUACAA